UUGGGUNUCUGGGCUGCAGUAAAGGCUCA
rnacentral:piRNA from 1 species